rnacentral:rRNA from 1 species
GAUGAACGCUAGCGGCAGGCCUAACACAUGCAAGUCGAGGGGGAAGUUACUUUCGGGUGACUGAGACCGGCGUACGGGUGCGUAACGCGUAUACAAUCUGCCUUUCACUGGGGGAUAGCCCGAAGAAAUUUGGAUUAAUACCCCAUAGUAUAUAGGGACGGCAUCGUUUUUAUAUUAAAGCUUAGGUGGUGAAAGAUGAGUAUGCGUUCUAUUAGCUAGUUGGAGAGGUAACGGCUCCCCAAGGCGAUGAUAGAUAGGGGUUCUGAGAGGGAUGUCCCCCACACUGGUACUGAGAUACGGACCAGACUCCUACGGGAGGCAGCAGUGAGGAAUAUUGGACAAUGGUCGGAAGACUGAUCCAGCCAGGCCGCGUGCAGGAUGAAGGUCUUAUGGAUUGUAAACUGCUUUUGUAAGGGAAGAAUAAGGGCUACGCGUAGUUUGAUGACGGUACCUUACGAAUAAGCAUCGGCUAACUCCGUG